CUAAAGGCCUUCAGUUUGUUUACAUUUGAAUUUUGACAGAGUUUGAAUAGUCUUGGCUCAUCUGAACAUUUCGUCAAUGUAAGUCUGUGGGAUUUUGAUGAUUUUUAAUCUUCAUUUUUAGGAAAACCGUAAGUCGUAAUUAGAGGAGCAAGUGACUGUUUCUCCAGACAGAUCUGUGCUUAUAUCACUAUGAAACAAUAUCUCACAUUCAGCUCUGUGUGUCUGUUCAGUCCUGAAGCACAUGACAGUUUCAAACAGCAGCAUUGAGCAUCAACAUGCAGAAAUCUCAUUCUAUCAGCAGCAGUUUGUGGCAAUGCUUGUCAUUAUAUCUCCUCUCCUGCUCUGAGACCAGAGUCAAUAACAAACUACACACACUUCAACUACAAUUAACACUGUGUCAUUGUUCUCUACAGGUUGAGAGAUUGUGGCGUCACAGAUGAAGGUUGUUCUGCUCUGGCUUCAGCUCUGAGAUCAAACCCCUCACACCUGAGAGAACUGAAUCUGUCUGGGAAUAAACUACAAAAAUCAGAAGUGAAGUUACUCUCUGAUCUGAAAGAUGAUCCAAAUUAUAAACUGGAGAGAUUAUACUACUUCUAGGACUCUCAGUAUUUAGACGUCAGUUCAGUUUCCUCAGGAUCAGCUGAUGGUGAAUAAGAGCCGCUACAGAGACGUCACAGUCACACAAUCAACAGAGACUGAAGACACAAGAACAGAACAGAAGUAGAGACAUAAAAAAAAUUAUUAACAAAAUCAAACUACAACAAAAAACAAAACCAAAAGAAGAACACAGAAUGUAAGAGUCAGGAAUCAGUGAUGUAAAGUUAAAGUGAAUGCAUGGAAGUGUAAUGUGUGUAGCAGUGUUGAUGUACAGAAGAAACAAGCUUCAAGGAAACUAAGCAAAUUCAGCUCUC